UACGUAGGGGGCGAGCGUUGUCCGGAUUUAUUGGGCGUAAAGAGCGUGUAGGCGGUUCGGUAAGUCUGUCGUGAAAUCCUGAGGCUCAACCUCGGGCGUGCGAUGGAUACUGCCGGGCUAGAGGGUGGUAGAGGCGAGUGGAAUUCCCGGUGUAGCGGUGAAAUGCGCAGAUAUCGGGAGGAACACCAGUAGCGAAGGCGGCUCGCUGGGCCACACCUGACGCUGAGACGCGAAAGCUAGGGGAGCAAACGGGG
rnacentral:rRNA from 1 species